GCCUUGGUGGUGUAGUGGUUAAGGCACUCGCCUGGUAAAAGGGAGGGCGUGGGUUCAAUCCCAGCCAAGGUA
rnacentral:tRNA from 1 species